ACUUGCAUAAUAUAAAAAUUAUAUCUGACUUCCAAUCAGAAAAUCUAUCAUAUAGUACAAGUA
rnacentral:tRNA from 1 species